AUCUUUCUCCAAGCCCAGUUCUUGGAUUUCAUGGUUAUUUGCUUGAGGGAAAACUGGAUUCUCCAAAACUCUGGUCAGCAGAACAAGUAAGUAGCUCACUGGCUAUAGCUAUUGACUUUUUGUUCAGCCACCUAAAUUUUUAGCUUUGCUUUUCCGACAUGCAGUAGAGUAAUAUUGAAAAUUACAUUAUUAGUUAGAGACAGUAAAAUGAGAAACCUUAGUGAAAUGUAUCAGGUUAGUACUGAAUAUAUGAUGUGGCCUGGGUAUUUUUCCUAUUCCAGUGUUAGGCUCCUUGCUUGAAUUGUUAGGGUUGUCUGAUAGAGUUUAGGUAUAGAUUCUCUCACAAUCACUCACCAGACUCAAUCCCAAACAUACACAAAGAUCUAUUCAGUGGAAAGAAUGUAUUACACUUUGAAUCCAAACAAUCUCUUCUUUAUGAAACGUUGCCAAGUCUCUCUGUCAUAUCAUAUUUUUUUCUAGGACUUUUAUCUUCAUAUCGUGUAACUUGAAGUGACGUUUCCGAAAGUGUAAUAGGAAUUAGGAAAUUUGAAAUGAGAUGUGUCUGUAAUGUAUUGGGUUCGAGGAAUAGACUCUUUGCUUCUUCUUUUUGUCGAGGGCUUUAAAAUAUCUUCGUAUGUACUUAAUAGAUAUCUUAAUCGACUAAUCUGGUUUGAUUAUUUGCGUGGAUGGAUUGUUUUCUGGUAAUCCAUUUAUUCAAAGGGAUGUAGCAGCCUCUGUAGAAGAAAUUUUCAUCCAUGUGUUUUGUUUUGUUUUGUUUUGUUUUGUUUUGUUUUGUUUUGUGCUCUAUAAAUCUUUAUAGAGACUUGGAUAAAAAUGUUUUCUGUAUUUGCAUAUCUGACAUGUUUGUCUAAUAGUGUUGUUGUUGCUUUGCUAAUUAGACUUUCUGGGUUGAUAUUGUUUAAUAUGUUUUCUAGCAGGUUUCAAUCAGUUAAAUAGUUAUUUCAAAAAAGGUGAAAAAAAUAAUGUGACGACGACAACUUUGUGGAUCACACAUGGCAAAGAAGAUCCCUCUCUGUGAUGGCAGGAAGAGUAUUUACUCAGCUGGGACACUGCCCUUCGAGAGAA
rnacentral:lncRNA from 1 species